UAGAAGUGGUCUCACUUCUUCAUCUUUAUGCUGUAGCCUGUGCCAGAAAAGGGCCCUUUCCAAACACAAAGGACCUUUCCGGUUGGACGCCGUCCUCUGGGAGAGAGGAGCUCUGGAAAGGGAAACGGGCGGCUGCGGCCACUAGAAACCCGCUGGUCCUCACAGGUCUUGGCAGCCCAAGUGCACGGCUCUGACAGCGAUGAGAAGUACAGGAUCCCCUGACACCGUCUAGGGACAUCGGGCUGAACCAGGGGUGCAGAGUGCUGGAGGAGGGGCCUUUGGACAUCACCAACUAAAGGCUUGAUUCGGAGUGUGGCCAGGCACCACGGCCAGCCCAGCAGGACACAGGAUGCUGGAGCAGAAGAAGGCAGCGGGCCUGCCGUAAGUGCACACCUCUCCACGUGUUUCCGGUGUUUCUAUCUCUGCAGGAGAAGCGGAGGGCUGUAGUUGUCAACCUUCACCUCCGGGCCCAGCCCUCCUCAUGCACCUCUGGCAACUCCAGGGACCAAUGCUCAAACAGCUGCCUCUGACAGGACCUUGGAGCAUCAACAGCUCAGCUGGGUACACGCGAUGCAUGCAGAGCUACUAGGCACCCGUCAGAGAGCUUAGGGUCAGCUGGGUGUCCAUCAGAGAGCUCAGGGGACCCUGCAGGCAGGGCUGCCCACUGGAAAGAACUCUGCAUUUCCCAGGACCCAGUUUCUGUUGUUCAGUCACAGGCUUUCUGCACGUGAGGCAGUGCCUAAGUAUCAUUCCAGGUGGAGCACCAUUCCCCGGAAGGUGUAGGGCCACUGCACUGAUGGUGAUAUUCUAAACUCACACUUAUUCCUGGAAGCGGUUCAAAACUCAUUAGCUAGCCAGCGCGGCAGGGCUUCUACUUCCUAAUUCCAGUAAAAUCCUGGCUGCAAAUCCUCUGCUAUUGGGACACCUUUUCUUUGUUUUCAGGAAUGUUAAAGGGUCACUGCCAAGUACUCAGGCCAGAGAUUUAUGGACUUACAGGCACAAAAGUUGCUGUCAGGUCUCCGUCGAUUUGUAGACCUCAGAGUCUGCUCCACUGAGUCUGGCUCAAACUCUUAAGGGCAGAGGUGGGGACAGGGGUGGCUCCAGGGUACCGAUCCACCUGGAUGAUUCCCCUUCUGGGAGAGAGAGAGACGGGGGCUUCCAGGAGAAAAGGUCCUUUUGAGGCCAAGGCUUAGGUGGGGCACUCUCUUCCCAGUACCUUCCUCUGGGGAGUUGGGUGGUUCUUAAUGUCUCCACCAGGCAGUCACCUUCAAGGCCUGUGCAUGAUUCCAGCAGGCCCUCACAGGACCAGAGUCUGCCUCCUCUGAGGGCAAAGGCUCAGAACUCCACAGUGCUUGACUGAGAGCAACAGAGUAUGUGUCCAAAUAAAUGCUGAAUGGUGG
rnacentral:lncRNA from 1 species